UUUUCUGCACUGUCAUAAUUCAGAGUAUACCUGUACCUUCUGUCUUGAUGGCACUGCUAUAAUAGAGUCAUUUUUAUUAUUUUUUGCUUGGCCAAAAUUAAUAAUAGAAUCUCUAAACCACACUCAGCCAUACCAGGAGCCAAGAGCACCGUGUCAGGAAUGAGUUCAGCCUGUUGUGUCCGUGGGUCUGUUGGCCUUGCACUCUGAAGGAUGUUCAGAGAGGUUUUCCCAGGAGCUACCUACAGUCCAGUUCUCUACUCUUACAACAAAACAGUGGGAAAGAAAUAAAAUGCCCUCCACGUUCAGAACCCGGCAGUCACCCUGGAAUUAAUAGAAAAUUGGAAAUAUUAACAGGCUGGAACAAGCUGGGUGAGACCAGUACAUGUUUCACUCCUUGCCUGUGGUAUUUUUAUUCUUCAGUUUCCUUCGAUUCUUCAGCAGAUACCGAUGGAGGCGUCAAAUGUUUCUACAACAAGGGAUAUCCACUAGCCGUUAUGAUAAGUGCCCCAUGCGGUGCUGCAGGUGAGGGCAGAGUGGCUGGAAAGCUGCCCAGUGGAAAAGGACCUGGAGGUGCUGGUUGACAGUGGCAGAACAUGAGCCAGCAGUGUGCCCUGUGAUAUCCUGGCUUGUAUAAAAAGUAGAGUUGCCCGCAGGACCAGUGCAGGGAUUGUCUCCCUGUACUCGGCACUGGUGAGGCCACACCUCGAGUCCUGUGUCCAGUUCUCUACAAGAAAGGCACUGAGGUGCUGGAGCAGCCCAAAGAAGAGCAACAGA